rnacentral:lncRNA from 1 species
UGAAAUCCUCCACAAAAAUUCCUAAUUUAAAUUUAAAUAACUUAUAUCUUAAUCUAUCUAAAACUCCCGAUCUGUUCAAUAAAAAAACUGUAGAUGCCAUCUAAAGUUUUGUUCGUGGCUAAAGUCCCAGAAGCAUAUUUUUUGUUGUAUGUAGUACAACAACAAAAACUGUAUACAUUCGCAAAAAAAAAACUAUACACGGCUAGACGCCACCUUAAAAAAACAUGGAGACUUGCCGUGCAUCUGCCCCUCGCGGCUCACUGCGUUCCGUUUGCCUCUCUAUGUCCUCCUCGCCCAUCCUCUUCCAGUUUCCACUCCUCUGUGCGCCCAUGGCAGACUACCCUGCCGCAGCAUUUAGGCGCCACCGGAUACGAAUCCCUCUUCCGGUACCAUUACAUAGACAUUCCGCUAAAUAUGCAUCCGACAUCCGGCAGCUGUAUAGACGCUGCUCACCACAACACUUCUCUAAACCCAUUGUCCUAGCAGUCGAGAAACACAUGUACAAACACAUUUAUUAGUCUUAAUGUUGUACGUAUGUAUGACUAAUCAGCUUCUCAAAAAAAGUGAUGAUCAAGAUGAAUCAGCAUACAUGCUAUUGAGUUUCUUCGAGAGAGAGUGAAAAUUCCGUGAACAGCAUUUAUCGGCACAGGUUUUCAGCCUUUCGAUCGAGCAACACACGUACAUGGGAUCCGUUGAAAGUAUAUCUGCACAUGUUGGUUGGUCAACACCAAGGAAGAUAAAUUGCUCCUGCUAGAAAGAGUAAUAUAAUUUGCUAGUCGGACAUAAACUAUGAAUGGAGGAUCAAACCAACCCUAGAUCGACAAAUUUUGGCAAAAAGUAAAACUUCAGGAGGAGUAAACCUGGAUGUAGAUUCGAGAUGGUUUGUCUGAUUGUCGUAUUCUCCCUGCUCCAAGAAAAGUACAUGUUUUUUCUCUUCAUGUGUCAAUUUGAAGAAAGCAUUCGGGACUUUCAGUCUUGCGUACAUGGAGUCUAUUCAAUCAGCAUUUUCUGCUGGUGAAUAACCUACAAAUUUAUUUUGCUAAUAGAGGUAUGUUAUUUGCUGGUGGGUAUUAAACUGUAAACAAAGGAUCAAACUAAUUGUAGAACAUUUUUUUUGACAGAAGGUAAAACAUAAAGAGGAAUAUACUUGAAUUGAGAUUAGAGUGAACACCUACUUAUCUAGCUAGUCUGAUUGUCAUCUUUUCCCUUGUCCAAGAAAACUGCCGGAUUUUUAGAAAUAGACAGUCUGUAACCGAUAUGCUGGUGGUUGUUAGGGCCGUACUAAUGUCUAAGGACAAUAAACGGGCCUAACUAUCGGCAGUUGGGAGUGACUCUGGAGAUGCAUAGGUGGAGAGGAAACACCUACCCGCGUAGUUUGCUGACAUAACCGAUAGUCGGACGCUAGAUAAACCAGAUUAACGAACGGAACCUGCAACAUAUACCAUCUGAAUAAUAAUUGGGAACUUGGAACCCAAAAAUUGGUCUAGUUUCAACCAGUUUCUGACGUUGAAUGCUUUGGUCAAGCAAUGAAUCAACUACACCAAUUUUCUUGGAAAGAAACUAAAACUAUGUCCAGAUAUAAAAUCAAAUUGAAAGGGCAUACUUGUAGGUUCUGAACCUAUCAAAAAGAUUCCAUACAUCAUUACAGAUAUAUCCAAUAAUCUAUACCUAAUAAUAAAGAGACUAUUGCUUCCGUCGGAAAACCCACCACGAUCUUUUUAUAAAAAAACAUGUAAUUUUUAUUAUUCAACCCGCGCUCCAUCAUUUAUCUGCAACGCAAAAGGAAAAAACGAUUCGCUGCAAAAAUUAUACCCGUAUGCAUCGCCUCCUCCCAUCGACCCUGGGCCACCCUGGCCUGUGUCCAGGCCGCCGCCACACCACUCAUCGCCCCGGCCGACCUCAACCGCCACCGCUGUCGAUCUCAACCCACCCGCCUCCAUGGCUGUACCUCUCCUCGCUCACUGCCCCUGUUGCGGCGCUCGAGCGCAUCGCGUCGACCCUGGUCCACCCUGGUC